AUCUAUUUAGUUUAAAAAAAAUUUAAAUUUGUGGAGUUUAAGAUAAUAUUCAUUUAUUUUUAGAUA
rnacentral:tRNA from 1 species